CCUACGGGAGGCAGCAGUGGGGAAUAUUGGACAAUGGGCGAAAGCCUGAUCCAGCAAUGCCGCGUGAGUGAAGAAGGCCUUCGGGUUGUAAAGCUCUUUUACCCGGGAAGAUAAUGACUGUACCGGGAGAAUAAGCUCCGGCUAACUCCGUGCCAGCAGCCGCGGUAAUACGGAGGGAGCUGGCGUUGUUCGGAAUUACUGGGCGUAAAGCGUACGUAGGCGGCUUGGUAAGUCAGAGGUGAAAGCCCACGACUCAAUCGUGGAACUGCCUUUGAGACUGCUUCGCUUGAAGAUGGGAGAGGUUAGUGGAAUUCCGAGUGUAGAGGUGAAAUUCGUAGAUAUUCGGAAGAACACCAGUGGCGAAGGCGGCUAACUGGACCAUUCUUGACGCUGAGGUACGAAAGCGUGGGGAGCAAACAGGAUUAGAUACCCUGGUAGUCCACGCCGUAAACGAUGAUAACUAGCUGUCGGGGCUCUUGGAGCUUCGGUGGCGCAGCUAACGCAUUAAGUUAUCCGCCUGGGGAGUACGGCCGCAAGGUUAAAACUCAAAGAGUAAUACGACGNGNGAGAGCGACGACGACGACGAGGAGGAG
rnacentral:rRNA from 1 species